UAGAAAGGCUGUUAUUUCAUCCUAAAAGGGUUUCAGCUAUACGAGUGUUAAUCCUUGCUCCUGCUAGAGAGUUGGUCGUUCAGGUUCGCAGUAUGAUAGAGAAACUUGCUCAGUAUACUGAUAUUCGAUGUUGUCUGAUUGUUGGUGGGCUUUCAUUAAGGGCACAAGAGACAGCUUUGAGAUUGAUGCCUGACAUUGUUGUGGCUACUCCUGGACGCAUGAUAGAUC